GAAAGUUGUAUUCAGUAUUAUUUGGAAAACAAUUGGCUUCAACAUGAGAAAGCUCCUACAGAAGAAGGGAAAAAAGAGCUGCUGUUCCUAAGUAACGCGAACCCCUCGCUGCUGGAGCGGCACUGUGCCUACCUCUAAGCCAAGAUCACAGCAUGUCAGAAGAGAUCAAUUCUACAGAAAUUUCCAGUGGUUCUGUUGAGGCUUUAUGGAAUUCAGCAUGUCAAAAUUCACAGCUGGCUGGGCACAGUGGCUCAUGCCUGUAAUCCCAGCACUUUGGAAGCCCAAGGCGGGCAGACUGCUUGAGUUCAGGAGUUUGCAACCAGCCUGGGCAACAUGGUGAAAACCUGUCUCUACUAAAAAUACAAAAAUUAGCCGGGCACGGUGGCAUGCGCCUGUAAUCCAAGCUACUUGGGAGGCUGAGGCAGGAGAAUUGCUUCAACUUGGGAGGCGGAUGUUGCAGUGAGCCAAAAUUGCACCACUGCACUCCAGCCUGGGCAGCAGAGCAAGACUCCGUCUCAAAAUAAAUAAAUAAAUAAAUAAAUAAAUAAAUAAUAAA
rnacentral:lncRNA from 1 species